AACCAUAGAAACCUGCGGAGUACCUGCGGAAGGAUCAUUACAGAGUUGCAAAACUCCCUAAACCAUUGUGAACGUCACCUAAACCGUUGCUUCGGCGGGCGGCCCGGGUCCUUCCCGGCGCCCAUCGGCCCUCGCGGGCGCCCGCCGGAGGUAAACCAAACUAUUGCAUUGUAUGGCCUCUCUGAGUCUUCUGUACUGAAUAAGUCAAAACUUUCAACAACGGAUCUCAGAUCGGAAGAG
rnacentral:misc_RNA from 1 species